GCCUAACCUCNAAAAAUCUAUUUACUCCUACUACCGCCAGGGUAACUACGAGCCUUAGCUUAAAACCCAAAGGACUUGACGGUGUCCCACCCAACUAGAGGAGCCUGUCCUAUAAUCGAUACUCCACAUCGAUACUCCACGUUAUACCUAGCCACUUUUUGCUUAUCAGCCUGUACACCUCCGUCGUAAGCUUACCAUAUGAACGCACAACAGUAGGCAUAAGGACCACACGCCACAAUGGCAGGUCAAGGUGCAGCUCACAAAGUGGAAGAGAUGAGCUACAAUUUCUAAAUUAGAACAUACGAAACAUUAUAUGAAACAUAAUCAUGAGGGUGGAUUUAGUAGUAAGUGGGGAAUAGAGAGCCCCACUUAACUCGGCCCUGGGACGUGUACAAACCGCCCGUCGCCCUCUUCAAUAGCCCAACAUUAGUCUAUAACACAACACAAGCGCCUUAGAAGAGGUAAGUCGUAACAUGGUAAGUAUACUGGAAAGUGUACUUGGAACAA
rnacentral:rRNA from 1 species